GAUGAACGCUGGCGGCGUGCCUAAUACAUGCAAGUCGAGCGAACAGACGAUGUGCUUUCUCCAUUUACAUUAGCGGCGGCCGGGUGCGUGGCAGGUGGAAAAACCACCUAUAAUAAUGGGAUCAGUUCGGGAAACCGGAGCUAAUACCCAAUAACAUGUUGAUGCGGAUGGAUCAACAGUAAAAGGUGGCUUUGAUGUCCUCUAUGGAUGUACCCGCGUCGCAUGAGCCAGUUGGUAAGGUAACGGCGUACCAAGGCGACGAUGCGUACACGACCUGAGAGGGUGAUCGGCGACACUGGAACUGGGACACGGUCCUGACGCCUACGGUAGGCGGCAGUAGGGAAGCUGCCGCAAUGGGGGAAAGCCUGACGGAACAACGCCGCGUGAGUAAUGAAGGCCGUCGGAUCGUAAAACUCUGUUACUAGGGAAGAACAAAUAUGUAGAUAAAAAUGACCAUCGUGACGGUACCUAAUCAGAAAGCCACGGCUAACUACGUG
rnacentral:rRNA from 1 species